rnacentral:rRNA from 1 species
UACGAAGGGGGGCUAGCGUUGCUCGGAAUCACUGGGCGUAAAGGGUGCGUAGGCGGCGCGGUAAGUCGGGUGUGAAAUCUCGGAGCUUAACUCCGAAACUGCAUUCGAUACUGCCGUGCUUGAGGACUGGAGAGGAGACUGGAAUUUACGGUGUAGCGGUGAAAUGCGUAGAUAUCGUAAGGAAGACCAGUGGCGAAGGCGGGUCUCUGGACAGUUCCUGACGCUGAGGCACGAAGGCCAGGGGAGCAAACGGG